GGUAAGUAGCCGUUUGUUCCAGGGUUCCACCGAUAGUAGGGUUGGGAGGAGGAAUGGGGGGAGAAGACAACAUGAUCGAUCUUACCAGCGAUGACGAUGACGAUGAGGUGGAGAUCAUCGGCUCCAUCUCCUCCUUCGUCAAGAUUGAGCCAGUGGACAAGAACACACACGUCAAGGUAGAGCCAGCGCCAGUGCAGUGCUCGGGGGGAGAGACAUCCGACUCUUCCUUUCGGCAUUUCUGGAGGGCUGGAGACUACGAGACCUCCUCUUUCGGCAUGUCUGUGCAAGGUGGCAUGGAUCACGUCCGAGUCCAUCCCAAGUUCCUACAUUCCAAUGCAACUUCUCACAAAUGGGCUCUUGGAGCCAUCGCGGAGCUUUUGGAUAAUGCCAUUGACGAGGCAAAUAACGGUGCCACUUUCAUCAAGAUCGACAAAGUGACCAAUUUUCGUGACGGAAGCCCUGGUCUUCUUUUCCUAGACAAUGGAGGUGGUAUGAGCCCCGAGAAGAUACGUCAGUGUAUGAGUUUUGGCUACUCCCAAAAAUGUGCCAACGCAAUCGGCCAGUAUGGAAAUGGAUUUAAGACGAGCACAAUGCGUCUAGGUGCGGAUGUUAUCGUUUUAACACGUUGUGUCCGUGACAGCGUUACAACACAAAGCGUUGGACUACUUUCAUACACUUUCUUGAGAAAGACCGGUCGUGGGGAUAUUCUAGUUCCAAUGGUGGAUUACGAGCGCGUAUCAGGAUCUCCUGGACAUGUCAGCAGGGUGAUCAGAAGCACUACAGAGGACUUCGAGAUGAACCUGAACACAAUACUACAGUGGUCGCCAUUCUCCACCGAGGCUCAAGUUUUGGCGCAGUUCGAAGAUAUGGAGUCGCCUCACGGAACCAAAGUGAUCAUCUACAACUUGUGGUUGAAUGAUGACGGCGUUUUGGAGCUCGAUUUUGACACGGAUCCGCAUGAUAUAAAGCUCCGCGAGAAUGGAGCUAAGUCGGAUGCGCGGGCUAAGGAGCUACAUAAAAAGCAUCUUUCUUAUCAAUUGCGAUACUCUCUCCGGGCUUAUGCGUCGAUACUUUACCUCCGACUGCCAUCUGGCUUCCGUAUCACGCUGCGAGGAAAGCUUGUGGUCCAUCAUAAAAUAGAUGACGACCUCAAGUUUCCUGAAUACAUUAUGUAUAAGCCUCAAGUCGAUGGCAUCACUUCUGGAGAGGUGGUUACAUGUAUUGGUUUUACAAAAGAAGCGCCUUUGCUGAAUGUUCAUGGAUUUUGCGUUUACCACAAGAAUCGCCUGAUAAUGCCAUUUUGGAACGUAUUUCACGACAAUAGCAGCAGAGGAAGGGGUGUUAUUGGGAUUCUUGAGGCCAACUUUAUUGAACCAGCUCAUGAUAAACAAGAUUUUGAGAAGACUUGUUUGCUGUUGCGCCUGGAAAACAGGCUGAAGCAAAUGACCCUCGAAUACUGGAACACGAACGCUUCGAGGAUUGGUUACCAGACGAAACCGAAGCAGAAGAGGAUUACUUAUCCUGCUCCUCCUCGUCUUCUGCGACGUCCAGAACCUGUGCCUGAAGAACCCGAUAAUGUUUCCGACGAACGCCCUAGUGAGCAGCCUUAUCCCGAUGAAGAGCGGCCCACUAUCUCAAAUGCGAAUGAAGAAACUCCGGGAAGGAGUUUACGCAAAAGAACCCGUACCGUUGAUUAUACAGAGUGCUCCACUGAGGUCCCAGAGGAGCGAGAACGUGAAGGAGCUGAAAGAGCCGAAAGAGUUGCAGGCAAACGUUGUCCAAAAUGCACAGAGCUGGAAUCCAAGAACAAAGAGUACGAGAGGGAACUGGCCGCGAAGAGUUCCGAAACGAAAGAGCCACCAGAUUACGCAAAACAGCUGGAAGAGUUGGAGCUGAAGAGCUCGAGCCUGGAGAAGAAAUGCCAGGCCCUGGAGCGGGAGAAAACAGAGGCCGAAAGCAGGUGCAUGGAGCUACAGGUGCAGAACUUCGCACACCUCGAGAAGGUGAGCGCUCUGGAGAAUGAGCUGCUGCGGACUAAAAACAAGUACAUAAUGCUGCUGAUGACAUCAGGCGAAGGAAGAGGAGUGGCGGCCGUGAAACAAGAGGCAUAGGGAGCCGGCUCUAAGUUGUCCAUGGCGAUACGGUGAAAUCGAAAUAACACAAGAGUCAUUGCAACAGUGUUUGCAGCGUUUAAAGAGCAAAGCAAUCUCCAGCAGGAGGUCCCCGUCAAAACUGGCGUGAGUGUUUUUGACACCGACAAAAGCCUACGCGAAAGAAGAACUACAUUGCUAGCUGCUGCUUUAUACGAUGCGGGGGAAAGCUAGAGGGAACCAAGUUCAACG